rnacentral:rRNA from 1 species
GACGAACGCUGGCGGUGUGCCUAACACAUGCAAGUCGAACGGUAAGGCCCUUUCGGGGGUACACGAGUGGCGAACGGGUGAGUAACACGUGAGUAACCUGCCCUCAUCUCUGGGAUAACAGUCGGAAACGGUUGCUAAUACUGGAUAUGAGCUUGCAAGGCAUCUUGUGGGUUGGAAAGAUUUUUUUGGUUGGGGAUGGACUCGCGGCCUAUCAGCUUGUUGGUGAGGUAGUGGCUCACCAAGGCUUCGACGGGUAGCCGGCCUGAGAGGGCGACCGGCCACAUUGGGACUGGGAUACGGCCCAAACUCCUACGGGAGGCAGCAGGGGGGAAUAUUGCACAAUGGACGGAAGUCUGAUGCAGCAACGCCGCGGGCGGGAUGACGGGCUUCGGGUUGUAAACCGCUUUCAAUUGUGACGAAGCUUUUUGUGACGGUAGCAGUAGAAGAAGCACCGGCUAACUACGUU